GCAAAAUUUAGUUUUGAAUUGGUAUAUAGCCUCACAAAUUUGGUGUUAACGUUGGUACGCAUUUUCUUUCAGCCUCCUCCGUUCCCUGAUUUCAACAUGCCUGAUCACGUAGCAGCUAAAAUAGUCAGCUUAGUUUCUGAGGACGGUGUAGAUAUGUUAAAGGCUUGGAUUCAAUCAGGUCCAGAUGGAAAAGCCGCUGUUUUUUCAAGUGAAACUCUUUCUUCUGUUCGAAUAGAUAAGUCCCCUUUUUUAUUCAUAUGGCUGAAGAAUCGUUUAGUUAUCACAUGUUUUACACCAAAUGCCUCACCGCAAAAAAUCCGUACGCCCUAUAUCUUCAGAGUUUAGUGCUGGCAUUUCAUAUGUUUGAGCUCCAGGAGUCAAUUGCUAUAUUGGAUGGCAUAAAGGACGUUAUCCCACAUGCUGGUCUACUUUACAUCAUGCUCCAUAGUUGCGCUAGAUCAAUUCUGUGG
rnacentral:sRNA from 1 species